UACGUAGGGUGCGAGCGUUAAUCGGAAUUACUGGGCGUAAAGCGUGCGCAGGCGGUUUUGUAAGCCAGAUGUGAAAUCCCCGGGCUUAACCUGGGAAUGGCAUUUGGGAUUACAAGGCUGGAGUGUGGCAGAGGGAGACUGGAAUUCCCGGUGUAGCAGUGAAAUGCGUAGAGAUCAUGAGGAAGACCAGUGGCGAAGGCGGGUCUCUGGACAGUUCCUGACACUGAGACACGAAGGCCAGGGAGCAAACGGG
rnacentral:rRNA from 1 species